GUGCAGUGAUGCAUUUUAUUCAUCAACACAUUCUGAAAAGGUAGGUGUGUGGAAAACUAAUGACAGCACA
ensembl:snoRNA SNORD63 Small nucleolar RNA SNORD63